AUGAAACACUAUCAUAUCAUAUUUACCGUUAGAAUCUUUUCUGAAACAUGUAGGGGACCGGUGGCUCGACUCCUGCUCCGUCGACCCCAGUCACUCCGAUCUGGCAGAGUGGUGGUGGUCGCGAUGGCGGUUUUGGCGGAGGUGGUGGUGGUUUUGGCGGAGGAGGUGGUGGUUUUGGCGGAGGUGGUGGUUUUGGCGGAGGUGGUCUUGCUUGAUGAUUCCGUGCAUGUGGCCAUCGUGCCAUGCCUUUCAUAUUCCUACUUUUAUGAUGUUUCAUGUCUUGCACUACUUUUAUGUUCAUGA
rnacentral:rRNA from 1 species